rnacentral:rRNA from 1 species
CCUACGGGCGGCAGCAGUGGGGAAUAUUGGACAAUGGGGGGAACCCUGAUGCAGCCAUGCCGCGUGUGUGAAGAAGGCCCUCGGGUUGUAAAGCACUUUCAGUGAGGAAGAACGCCUUGUGGUUAAUACCCAUCAGGAAAGACGUCACUCGCAGAAGAAGCACCGGCUAACUCCGUGCCAGCAGCCGCGGUAAUACGGAGGGUGCGAGCGUUAAUCGGAAUUACUGGGCGUAAAGCGCGCGCAGGUGGCUUGAUAAGCCGGUUGUGAAAUCCCCGGGCUCAACCUGGGAACUGCAUCCGGAACUGUCAAGCUAGAGUGCAGGAGAGGAAGGUAGAAUUCCAGGUGUAGCGGUGAAAUGCGUAGAGAUCGGGAGGAAUACCAGUGGCGAAGGCGGCCUCCUGGACUGACACUGACACUGAGGUGCGAAAGCGUGGGUAGCAAACAGGAUUAGAUACCCUUGUAGUC